rnacentral:rRNA from 1 species
AGCGAACGCUGGCGGCAGGCUUAGCACAUGCAAGUCGAACGGGCGUAGCAAUACGUCAGUGGCAGACGGGUGAGUAACGCGUGGGAACGUACCUUUUGGUUCGGAACAACACAGGGAAACUUGUGCUAAUACCGGAUAAGCCCUUACGGGGAAAGAUUUAUCGCCGAAAGAUCGGCCCGCGUCUGAUUAGCUAGUUGGUGAGGUAAUGGCUCACCAAGGCGACGAUCAGUAGCUGGUCUGAGAGGAUGAUCAGCCACAUUGGGACUGAGACACGGCCCAAAACUCCUACGGGAGGCAGCAGUGGGGAAUAUUGGACAAUGGGCGAAAGCCUGAUCCAGCCAUGCCGCGUGAGUGAUGAAGGCCCUAGGGUUGUAGAGCUCUUUUGUGCGGGAAGAUAAUGACGGUACCGCAAGAUAAGCCCGGCUAACUUCGU